rnacentral:rRNA from 1 species
UACGAAGGGGGGCUAGCGUUGCUCGGAAUCACUGGGCGUAAAGGGUGCGUAGGCGGGUCUUUAAGUCAGGGGUGAAAUCCUGGAGCUCAACUCCAGAACUGCCUUUGAUACUGAAGAUCUUGAGUUCGGGAGAGGUGAGUGGAACUGCGAGUGUAGAGGUGAAAUCGUUAGAUAUUCGCAAGAACACCAGUGGCGAAGGCGGCUCACUGGCCCGAUACUGACGCUGAGGCACGAAAGCGUGGGGAGCAAACAGG